CAUAAAUCUAGGCAGUUGUGAUGGGAGAGCUGUUAUGACAUUUCCAAUCCUGUUCUUCGUAAAGUCAAGGUCAGGAGGAGGCCCUUCGGUAGAUAAUUGAGAAAGCUGCACUUGCUCUUCCAAAGAUAGACCCGUCCUUAUUUUUCAUAACAGCUUCCUUGUGGCUUCUUACUUCCUGAUAUUUUAUGGUUCAUCCAAGUGAUCAAACGUACGUUCAUAAGAGCAAUUUAUGAUGACAUAGAAGAGUUUUCUACAUCAAAUGAUGGGAUGAGGUGGUGAGAUGGCAAUCAUUGCAAACCAGCCACGUAAUGACCGUUAAUAACUAAGAGUGUCGAUGUACAACAUUAAUUAUUCAUUUCUUCCAAGUGAAUGGGUUUUGAUGCAGGAGAAUCAUUGGUGAUAUUUUAAUGGAAUCUUAUAUUUCUUUC